GAUGAACGCUAGCGGCAGGCUUAAUACAUGCAAGUCGAGGGGGCAGCAAUGUCACCGGCGAACGGGUGCGUAACACGUAUGCAACCUACCUAUAUCAGGGGGAUAGCCCGCGGAAACUCGGAUUAAUACCGCAUAACAUUAGGAUCGGCAUCGAUUUUAAUUGAAAGAUUUAUUGGAGAUAGAUGGGCAUGCGUAGGAUUAGCUAGUUGGUAAGGUAACGGCUUACCAAGGCUACGAUCCUUAGGGGCUCUGAGAGGAGUAUCCCCCACACUGGCACUACGAUACGGGCCAGACUCCUACGGGAGGCAGCAGUAGGGAAUAUUGGGCAAUGCGCGGAAACAUGACCGAGCCCUGCCGCGUGCAGGACGACGGCCCUCUGGAUUGUAAACUGCUUUUGAAUGGGAAGAAAGGUAUGCUUGCGCGAGUAGUUGACGGUACCAUUAGAAUAAGCCACGGCUAACUACGUGCCAGCAGCCGCGGUAA
rnacentral:rRNA from 1 species